rnacentral:rRNA from 1 species
GGGAGCUUGCUCCCUGAUCUUAGCGGCGGACGGGUGAGUAACACGUGGGCAACCUGCCCUGCAGACUGGGAUAACUCCGGGAAACCGGAGCUAAUACCGGGUAAUACAUCGCACCGCAUGGUGCAAUGUUGAAAGUUGGCUUUCGAGCUAACACUGCAGGAUGGGCCCGCGGCGCAUUAGCUAGUUGGUAAGGUAAUGGCUUACCAAGGCGACGAUGCGUAGCCGACCUGAGAGGGUGAUCGGCCACACUGGGACUGAGACACGGCCCAGACUCCUACGGGAGGCAGCAGUAGGGAAUCUUCCGCAAUGGACGAAAGUCUGACGGAGCAACGCCGCGUGAGUGACGAAGGCCUUCGGGUCGUAAAGCUCUGUUGUUAGGGAAGAACAAGUACCGUUCGAAUAGGGCGGUACCUUGACGGUACCUAACCAGAAAGCCACGGCUAACUACGUGCCAGCAGCCGCGGUAAUACGUAGGUGGCAAGCGUUGUCCGGAAUUAUUGGGCGUAAAGCGCGCGCAGGCGGUCUUUUAAGUCUGAUGUGAAAGCCCACGGCUCAACCGUGGAGGGUCAUUGGAAACUGGAGGACUUGAGUGCAGAAGAGGAGAGUGGAAUUCCACGUGUAGCGGUGAAAUGCGUAGAUAUGUGGAGGAACACCAGUGGCGAAGGCGGCUCUCUGGUCUGUAACUGACGCUGAGGCGCGAAAGCGUGGGGAGCAAACAGGAUUAGAUACCCUGGUAGUCCACGCCGUAAACGAUGAGUGCUAGGUGUUGGGGGGUUCCACCCUCAGUGCUGAAGUUAACACAUUAAGCACUCCGCCUGGGGAGUACGACCGCAAGGUUGAAACUCAAAGGAAUUGACGGGGGCCCGCACAAGCAGUGGAGCAUGUGGUUUAAUUCGAAGCAACGCGAAGAACCUUACCAGGUCUUGACAUCCUCUGACAAUCCUGGAAGACAGGACGUUCCCCUUCGGGGGACAGAGUGACAGGUGNUGCAUGGUUGUCGUCAGCUCGUGUCCUGAGAUGUUGGGUUAAGUCCCGCAACAAGCGCAACCCUUGAUCUUAGUUGCCAGCAUUCAGUUGGG